rnacentral:rRNA from 1 species
GUUAAAAAGCUCGUAGUUGGAUUUCUGUUGAGGAUGACCGGUCCGCUCUUUGAGCGCGUAUCUGGUUCAGCCUUGGCAUCCUCUUGGGGAACGCUACUGUGCUUGAUUGCAUGGGGCGGUAUUCAAGACUUUUACUUUGAGGAAAUUAGAGUGUUCACUGCAAGCGUUAGCAAUUGAAUACAUUAGCAUGGAAUAAUAAUAUGGGACCUUGGUACUAUUUUGUUGGUUUCUAGAACUAAGGUAAUGAUUAAUAGGGACAAUUGGGGGCAUUCGUAUUAACGCGUCAGAGGUGGAAUUCUUAGAUUGCGUUACGACGAACUACUGCGAAAGCAUUUGCCAAGGAUGUUUUCAUUGGUCAAGAACGAAAGUAUGGGGAUCGAAGACGCUUAGAUACCGUCGUAGUCUAUACCAUAAACUAUGCCAACUAGAGAUUGGAGGUCGUUCUCUUUAUGACUCCUUCAGCACCUUAUGAGAAAUCAAAGUCUUUGGGUUCCGGGGGGAGUAUGGUCGCAAGGCUGAAACUUAAAGGAAUUGACGGAAGGGCACCACCAGGAGUGGAGCCUGCGGCUUAAUUUGACUCACACGGGAAAACUUACCAGGUCCAGACAUAGUAAGGAUUGACAGAUUGAUAGCUCUUUCUUGAUUCUAUGGGUGGUGGUGCAUG